rnacentral:rRNA from 1 species
GAUGAACGCUAGCUACAGGCUUAACACAUGCAAGUCGAGGGGAAACGACAUCGAAAGCUUGCUUUUGAUGGGCGUCGACCGGCGCACGGGUGAGUAACGCGUAUCCAACCUGCCCAUCACUUGGGAAUAACCUUGCGAAAGUAAGACUAAUACCCAAUGAUAUCCCACGAAGGCAUCGAAUGGGAUUAAAGAUUUAUCGGUGAUGGAUGGGGAUGCGUCUGAUUAGCUUGUUGGCGGGGUAACGGCCCACCAAGGCAACGAUCAGUAGGGGUUCUGAGAGGAAGGUCCCCCACAUUGGAACUGAGACACGGUCCAAACUCCUACGGGAGGCAGCAGUGAGGAAUAUUGGUCAAUGGGCGAGAGCCUGAACCAGCCAAGUAGCGUGCAGGAAGACGGCCCUAUGGGUUGUAAACUGCUUUUAUAAGGGAAUAAAGUGGGUCACGUGUGACUUUUUGCAUGUACCUUAUGAAUAAGGACCGGCUAAUUCCGUG